UAAAGACAAGCUUGAAGCAAAAGCGGGCUUCUAACCUGUUUAAGGGGGUUUGAUUCCCUCUUGUCUUUAU
rnacentral:tRNA from 1 species